GUUUAACUACUAUUUCUCCUUCAAUUUCCAGGUUGGCGGUUGGAGCAUUCUCAACCAUUUCAUUUAACUUUUCUUCGAUAAAUUUUCGUCAAUUUGUCCAUGAAUAUAUUAUACACUCAUUGUCGCAUUUCCGUAAAACGCAACUAUUUUCUAAAAAGUGCAGAACAAUUGUUUCACGUUAAAACUGUUCUCCUGACAACACGAAAAAUAUAUACAUUUUCAUAGCCGGCCUUGGAAUCAUCCCUGGAAAUGGAUAGCAGCAGCAGUAGUGACAACCGGACGACGAUCAUGGUGACGAAUGACGACGGAAUCGAUGCCCCUGGACUACAAGCUCUAGUUCGUGUCCUUGUUUCCACCAAUCUGUACCGAAUUUUUGUUUGCGCUCCUGAUUCUGAAAAAUCAGCUGUUAGCCACUGUAUUACGUGGAAGCACGGUCUCUAUGCUAAGGAGGUCGCAAUUAAUGGAGCAAAGGCAUACGGAGUAUCUGGAACCCCAGCUGAUUGUACAGCUCUAGGACUGUCCAAAACUCUCUUCCCUUCAGUGCCUGAUCUGGUUAUCAGUGGUGUAAAUAAGGGCAACAACUGUGGCCAUCGCAUUUGGUACUCUGGGACAGUAGCGGGUGCUCGCCAAGCCUUUUUACAAGGCAUACCUUCCAUCUCUAUAUCAUAUUACUGGUUUAGGGGUAUGAGCAGUGUUAAUGACUUCACACUAGCUGCUGAAGCUUGCUUACCCAUACUAAGUGCAUUUCUAGUUGAAAUCCGGAAGAAGAAUCAUCUUCUGAAUUUCUUUUUAAAUAUAAAUGUGCCUGCUAAUGUUUUAAAUCAUAAGGGAUAUAAGCUAGCCAAGCAGAGCAAAAAUAUCGUCAGUAUGAAAUGGGAGCAAGAUACUUCUGAUGCACAAGGAGGAAAAGUGUUACCGUUGAUGGAUAUGGAGACAGAAACGAAUGCUAGUAAGGACCCUGCCACAGUAUCACAAGAAAAGCUCCAUUUCAAAAGAGUGAUAAGGGAAAGAACACAACUGGGAGCACGAGCAACGGACACAGAUUCAGAAGACUAUGGCUUCCUUAAAGAAGGAUAUAUAACUGUUACACCUCUUGGUGCUUUAACUAAUGCAGAGACAGAAUGUCUUGAAUACUUCAAAGACUGGCUUCCUGCUGUUGUUGAAUCCACCUCCUCAUCAAAUCUGUGAUGCUGAUUCCAUUAAAGAUGGACACUUUUAACGUGACUAAUCCAAUCUGUCAUCAGCUUUGCGGAUGUCUUGCAUUGGAUUUUCAAGUGUUUGUUAUUCCUUUUUACUUGUGCUGAUGAUAAACUCAGACUCUUUACCUUUAGAGGCAUAUGAAUAAACCUUGAAGUAACUGCAUGCCCUAUGCGGGAUGAUUCAGCUUUCGAGUUUGUAGAUUUUGGAGCUAUCUAAGUGAAGGAACAAUAUCAGAUGAAAGUAUUGGCCUGAAGAUCUUAAAAUGAAUGACAUUAUCAGAAAUUGCUGCCAUCCAUUCAUUUAGCUUACAGAAUUAGAUUUUAGUUUCAAUUUUGUCAAACAUCACUCUGUGCUUAUCAUAAAGCUAUGUUAUCGCCAAAGAAGCACAUAGAGUUCUACUUGUCAGUGGCGGCAUGGCAUCAGUCAAGGAAUCUGGAACUUUAUGUUUUUCAUUCAUUUGAA